rnacentral:rRNA from 1 species
ACAGGGAUUGCCCUAGUAACGGCGAGUGAAGCGGCAACAGCUCAAAUUUGAAAUCUGGCUCUUUUAGAGUCCGAGUUGUAAUUUGCAGAGGGCGCUUUGGCUUUGGCAGCGGUCCAAGUUCCUUGGAACAGGACGUCACAGAGGGUGAGAAUCCCGUACGUGGUCGCUGGCUAUUGCCGUGUAAAGCCCCUUCGACGAGUCGAGUUGUUUGGGAAUGCAGCUCUAAAUGGGAGGUACAUUUCUUCUAAAGCUAAAUAUUGGCCAGAGACCGAUAGCGCACAAGUAGAGUGAUCGAAAGAUGAAAAGCACUUUGGAAAGAGAGUCAAACAGCACGUGAAAUUGUUGAAAGGGAAGCGCUUGCAGCCAGACUUGCUUGCAGUUGCUCAUCCGGGCUUUUGCCCGGUGCACUCUUCUGUAGGCAGGCCAGCAUCAGUUUGGGCGGUAGGAUAAAGGUCUCUGUCACGUACCUCUCUUCGGAGAGGCCUUAUAGGGGAGACGACAUACUACCAGCCUGGACUGAGGUCCGCGCAUCUGCUAGGAUGCUGGCGUAAUGGCUGUAAGCGGCCCGUCUUGAAACACGGACCAAGGAGUCUAACAUCUAUGCGAGUGUUUGGGUGUCAAGCCCGAGCGCGUAAUGAAAGUGAACGGAGGUGGGAACCCGCAAGGGUGCACCAUCGACCGAUCCUGAUGUCUUCGGAAGGAUUUGAGUAAGAGCAUGGCUGUUGGGACCCGAAAGAUGGUGAACUAUGCUUGAAUAGGGUGAAGCCAGAGGAAACUCUGGUGGAGGCUCGCAGCGGUUCUGACGUGCAAAUCGAUCGUCAAAUUUGGGCAUAGGGGCGAAAGACUAAU